rnacentral:rRNA from 1 species
GAUGAACGCUGGCGGCGUGCCUAAUACAUGCAAGUCGAGCGAACGGACGAGAAGCUUGCUUCUCUGAUGUUAGCGGCGGACGGGUGAGUAACACGUGGAUAACCUCCCUAUAAGACUGGGAUAACUUCGGGAAACCGGAGCUAAUACCGGAUAAUAUUUUGAACCGCAUGGUUCAAAAGUGAAAGACGGUCUUGCUGUCACUUAUAGAGGGAUCCGCGCUGCAUUAGCUAGUUGGUAAGCUAACGGCUUACCAAGGCAACGAUGCAUAGACGACCUGAGAGGGUGAUAGGCCACACUAGAACUGAGACACGGUCCAGACUCCUACGGGAGGCAGCAGUAGGGAAUCUGACGCAAUGGGCGAAAGCCUGACGGAGCAACGCCGCGUGAGUGAUGAAGGUCUUCGGAUCGUAAAACUCUGUUAUUAGGGAAGAACAUAUGUGUAAGUAACUGUGCACAUCUUGACGGUACCUAAUCAGAAAGCCACGGCUAACUACGUG